rnacentral:rRNA from 1 species
UACGAAGGGGGCUAGCGUUGCUCGGAAUUACUGGGCGUAAAGCGCACGUAGGCGGACUCUUAAGUCGGAGGUGAAAGCCCAGGGCUCAACCCUGGAACUGCCUUCGAUACUGGGAGUCUUGAGUGUGGAAGAGGUUGGUGGAACUGCGAGUGUAGAGGUGAAAUUCGUAGAUAUUCGCAAGAACACCAGUGGCGAAGGCGGCCAACUGGUCCAUUACUGACGCUGAGGUGCGAAAGCGUGGGGAGCAAACAGG